rnacentral:rRNA from 1 species
AGUUUGACUGGGGCGGUCUCCUCCUAAAGAGUAACGGAGGAGUACGAAGGUGCGCUCAGCGUGGUCGGAAAUCACGCGUAGAGUAUAAAGGCAAAAGCGCGCUUAACUGCGAGACCCACAAGUCGAGCAGGUACGAAAGUAGGUCUUAGUGAUCCGGUGGUUCUGUAUGGAAGGGCCAUCGCUCAACGGAUAAAAGGUACUCUGGGGAUAACAGGCUGAUACCGCCCAAGAGUUCAUAUCGACGGCGGUGUUUGGCACCUCGAUGUCGGCUCAUCUCAUCCUGGGGCUGAAGCAGGUCCCAAGGGUAUGGCUGUUCGCCAUUUAAAGAGGUACGCGAGCUGGGUUUAGAACGUCGUGAGACAGUUCGGUCCCUAUCUACCGUGGGCGCUGGAAAUUUGAGAGGAUCUGCUCCUAGUACGAGAGGACCAGAGUGGACGAACCUCUGGUGUACCGGUUGUGACGCCAGUCGCAUCGCCGGGUAGCUAUGUUCGGAAGGGAUAACCGCUGAAAGCAUCUAAGCGGGAAGCCUACCUCAAGAUAAGAUUUCCCUAGGACUUUAUGUCCUCUAAAGAGCCGUUCGAGACUAGGACGUUGAUAGGUUGGAUGUGGAAGCAUAGUGAUAUGUGAAGCUGACCAAUACUAAUUGCUCGUGAGGCUUGACUAUACAACACCCAAGCAGUUG